rnacentral:lncRNA from 1 species
UCAUUUCAUUUAUUAUAAGAACGUGUGCCAUGAUAGAAUACGAAUAAUCCUCAUUCCUCCAAGUGUUUCACGUUACCCGCAAACAAUGAAGAGCUUCGCCAUCUGCUAAUUACCAGACCUGUACCAUGGCAAUGCAGAAAUAACGGACUAACAAUGAACGGCCGUUGUCUUUUACUCAUAGUACUUCUCGUACAGUCAGCAUGCUAUUACCAGUUGGGGGCAGGCACUCUACCGAGCCACGACCACAUGGUAGAACCUGAGACUACCACAACAGAGGCUGUUACUGAUCCCGUCACCACCACUACGGAACAUGAACCUUAUGAUAAUGAUCAAUGACCAGCUGUAUACAUUCUUCUGAAAGACACUGAUCUCAUUACCAUACACCCCAGUGAUGGAACACAUUGACAUUUUACCACCCCUUUCAAAGGACAUUUUCAGUUUUAAUAAGAAAUAUGUUCACAUUAACAAUGACAUGAUCAAUACAUCAGUGCAGGAAACGCACUUAUAAGUGGGAAGAACACGAAGACAAGAAACUUUUAUCAGGGACAACUGCGUCACAGAAUCACUUUGAAGCACUACAUUUACAAUAAAUAAACGGUUAUAGGGCAACCAUUGACGAAUGUUGUCAACUCAUCGCUUACAUAUCUAUCUUGAAACAAAAUGUGUAUUCUAGAACACAUUAAAAAGUAAAUAAAGAGAUGACUUAUAUGUUUACAUUUGUGUAAUAAAGUUGUGUACUACCAAAGAUCAAUAUUAUGAAUAUGAUGCAAAAUAAAUAAAGCUUCAG